rnacentral:rRNA from 1 species
UACGGAGGAUCCAAGCGUUAUCCGGAAUCAUUGGGUUUAAAGGGUCCGUAGGCGGUUUAGUAAGUCAGUGGUGAAAGCCCAUCGCUCAACGGUGGAACGGCCAUCGAUACUGCUAGACUUGAAUUAUUAGGAAGUAACUAGAAUAUGUAGUGUAGCGGUGAAAUGCUUAGAGAUUACAUGGAAUACCAAUUGCGAAGGCAGGUUACUACUAAUGGAUUGACGCUGAUGGACGAAAGCGUGGGUAGCGAACAGG